rnacentral:lncRNA from 1 species
AGCUAUUGUCGAAAAGAAUCAUGGUGUUUCAAGCUAUCUGCUAUCAUGAUUUUUGCAUGCUUAUUGGUUGCAAAAUCAAUACUUCCCUUAAGAUGGCUGCCAUGAGGGAUGCGUUAGUUACUGCUUGACCUGAAUCAACUUGAAAAUAUUGAAGAUGAAGUAUUUUUAAAUAUGAAGCACAAUGGUGCCAGUGCCACAUAAUGCAGAGGUCGUUUACUAUGUUCUAAGACCCAAUUUAUGAUCUUAAAAUUCUUGUGUUUCCAUGGUUUUGUUUCUCUUUUUACUGCUAUUUGUUUGUGCUUUUCUUGAAUUUGUAGAAGAAUAGAGUAGGCCAGAGCUGGAAUUCUUGAACAGCAAUAUGAUCUUUGCAAACUUAGCCAAGCUUCCGCUAAU